UGCUUAACGAUCGAAUUGCCUUUGGAACUGUCAGACUUGAGUAUGGAUGUGGUAGNCGGAAUGUGUAGUGUANCGGUGAAAUGCGUAGAUAUUACACAGAACUCCAAUUGCGAAAGCAGCUUACCAAACCAGCACUGACGCUGAAGCACGAAAGCGUGGGUAGCGAACAGGAUUAGAUACCCUGGUAGUCCACGCAGUAAACGAUGCUCACUCGCUGUUGGCAAUACACCGUCAGCGGCUAAGGGAAACCGAUAAGUGAGCCACCUGGGGAGUACGAUCGCAAGAUUGAAACUCAAAGGAAUUGACGGGGGCCCGCACAAGCGGUGGAACAUGUGGUUUAAUUCGAUGAUACGCGAGGAACCUUACCUGGGCUUAAAUGUGAAGUGCAUUGUUUGGAAACAGACAUUUCCUUCGGGACUCUUUACAAGGUGCUGCAUGGUUGUCGUCAGCUCGUGCCGUGAGGUGUCGGGUUAAGUCCCAUAACGAGCGCAACCCCUAUUGUUAGUUACCAGCGCGUCAAGGCGGGGACUCUAACGAGACUGCCGGUGUAAACCGCGAGGAAGGUGGGGAUGACGUCAAAUCAGCACGGCCCUUAUGUCCAGGGCUACACACGUGUUACAAUGGUCGGUACAGAGGGCAGCUAGGCAGCGAUGUCAAGCGAAUCUCGAAAGCCGAUCCCAGUUCGGAUUGGAGUCUGCAACCCGACUCCAUGAAGGUGGAAUCGCUAGUAAUCGCGCAUCAGCCAUGGCGCGGUGAUACGUUCCCGGGCUGUACACACCGCCCGUCAAGCCAU
rnacentral:rRNA from 1 species